GACAGAGGUGCCAAGCGUUAGGCGGAAUCACUGGGCUUAAAGCGUGUGUAGGCGGAUUUGUAAGUACCUUGUGAAAUCCCACAGCUCAACUGUGGAACUGCUGGGUAUACUGCUUAUCUUGAGCCACUUAGGGGCUGUCGGAACAAAUGGUGGAGCGGUGAAAUGCGUAGAUAUCAUUUGGAACGCCAACGGUGAGAACAGACAGCUGGGAGUGUGCUGACGCUGAGACACGAAAGCCAGGGGAGCGAACGGG
rnacentral:rRNA from 1 species